rnacentral:lncRNA from 1 species
AUGGGUGAGACUUGGAACCUAAAAUGCGUGGACUUGAAGGAUAAAGUAGUCACAUAUGUUGGUAAGAGUUUCUUUCUAGAUUGAUUGAUCUCACUACAUUGGAUCUCUAAAUAAAGGUAAGUACUCCAUAGGCUAUUUGUGUUAUUUACUUAUUUUCCCCUUAAGAACUCAUUUCAUGUAUCAUACUAUCUCUAUUGUACAAUAUAUAUAGACGAUGCACGCAUAACCCAAUUAAAUUACUUAAUAUAAUGAGAGACUCAUCCGGGCUAUAUUCCGAAAAGUCUGUCGAGUUGAGACACCUAAUAAAAUAGUCGUGGUUCGAGAAAAAAACUAGUUUCUUGAUAACAGAAUUCGGUUAAUCUGUUCCCUUACUACAAACUGAGCCAUACCACUUAUUUGAACAUGUCAAAAACGUUAUUGACCCUCCUUUUUUAGAAAUCCGAAGAUUUUUUAUGAAAGUUUGUUUAAGGCGUUUUGUGCCUUUCCCCUUAAAAUAGUAAAUUUCACAUAUCAUACGAUCUCUAUUGUACAAUAUAUAGAGGAGCUAAUACUUCAACAUGAUAAUAGAGCCCGAAUAAUUUAUUUAAUAUAACUUGUAAAUAUGUCGGAGUUAUUUCCGGAGAGUUUAUUUAGGCACAUAGUUAUAUAGAGCUAGGUUCUGAUACAAAUAAGUUUUAACAUACAAUAUGAGUUUAACGUGAGAAGUGAAGGAGAAAAUUUUCUUUUUAAUUUUUUUCCAUCUUGUUAAGCACGUAUUUUAGUCCCAUAAUCUAAAAAUAAACCGUAUUUUUAUAUUAGUAGUGUAAUUACAUAAUUACUCUGCUAGAGUAAAUUAAUUUUUUUUUUCAAUUAAACAUCAUACUUAAGUAGAUGGAAAAGAAAUUAAAAAAAACUUUCUUUACUUCUCAUAUUAAUAUCAUUUUUUAUGUUAAGACUCAUUUGUAUUUGAUUCUUACACUAAUUAUAUAACCUAGCUUGUAAGUGAAAACCUAUAAAACACGAUGACAACCGGAUGUUCUAUUAGUUUCUUCAUAAUGGAACUAGUUCCCUUAAUACAAACCGAGCCCUGUCAUUUGUUUAAGCAUGUCAAAAUGUUACAUAAUCAACACCAUUAGAAAAACGGAGGAUUGUUUGGAUCAACGUUUUUUCUUUGCAUUUGAGUCGAGCAUAAUUGCAUUUGUUUUGAUUAUCUUUAUAAUUAUAACGAAAUGAGAUUUUUUGGAUUAACGUACAGCGGUACAAAACAAACACUUUGAAACGUGUUUAAUUAUGUAGUUGCGAGUAGACCAUACGUAUGAUUUAAGAUUCCGACUCAUAAGAUAAAUGAAAAUACACAUUGGGUUGAUCCUAAGUUCCCUUCUUUCAAGUGAAACAAUAACGCUCACUUGAACUCAACUUGUAAGUUUUCGUUCUAGCUUCUUACUAGUUCGGGUUUUUACUAAAAUCUCGCUCGUCGUCCAAUUUUUUUUUUUUAAAAACUAAAUAACCUUUAACUUCUAGCUAGUUUAGUUGAGUCUUUGCAGCUGGGUUCUAAUGAAAGUUCUCUAAUGGAUUCAUUAGAUUCUAGUGUAAUAUUUCUGACUGCAAAUCUUAAAAGCAACUAGAAACCACUUUC